UUUUGCCUACGGGAGGCAGCAGUGGGGAAUCUUCCGCAAUGGGCGAAAGCCUGACGGAGCAACGCCGCGUGAUCGAAUGAAGGCCUUCGGGUUGUAAAGAUCUGUUGACAGGGACGAAUAAGCAAUGCGAAUAGUUUUGUGUAUGACGGUACCUGUUUAGAAAGCUCCGGCUAACUACGUGCCAGCAGCCGCGGUAAUACGUAGGGGGCGAGCGUUAUCCGGAAUUACUGGGUGUAAAGGGAGCGUAGACGGCGAGGUAAGCCUGAAGUGGAAGCCCGCGGCCCAACCGCGGAACUGCUUUGGGG
rnacentral:rRNA from 1 species